rnacentral:rRNA from 1 species
CGCGUGGUUCUAUUUUGUUGGUUUUUAGAACCGCCGUAAUGAUUAAUAGGGACAGUCGGGGGCAUCUGUAUUCAAUUGUCAGAGGUGAAAUUCUUGGAUCUAUUGAAGACAAACUACUGCGAAAGCAUUUGCCAAGGAUGUUUUCAUUGAUAAGGAACGAAAGUUAGGGGAUCGAAGACGAUCAGAUACCGUCGUAGUCUUAACUAUAAACUAUGCCGACUAGGGAUCGGACGAUGUUAUUUUUUGACUCGUUCGGCACCUUUCGAGAAAUCAAAGUGCUUGGGCUCCAGGGGGAGUAUGGUCGCAAGGCUGAAACUUAAAGAAAUUGACGGAAGGGCACCACCAGGGGUGGAACCUGCGGCUUAAUUUGACUCAACACGGGGAAACUCACCAGGUCCAGACACAGUGAGGAUUGACAGAUUGAUAGCUCUUUCUUGAUUCUGUGGGUGGUGGUGCAUGGCCGUUCUUAGUUGGUGGAGUGAUUUGUCUGCUUAAUUGCGAUAACGAACGAGACCUUAACCUGCUAAAUAGCCCGUUCUGCUCCGGCAGUACGCUGGCUUCUUAGAGGGACUAUCGGCUCAAGCCGAUGGAAGUUUGAGGCAAUAACAGGUCUGUGAUGCCCUUAGAUGUCCUGGGCCGCACGCGCGUUACACUGACAAAGCCAGCGAGUAUUUCCUUAGCAGGAAGGCUUGAGUAUCGUGUUAAACUUUGUCGUGC